CUGAAACAUCUAAGUACCCCGAGGAAAAGAAAUCAACCGAGAUUCCCCCAGUAGCGGCGAGCGAACGGGGAGCAGCCCAGAGCCUGAAUCAGUGUGUGUGUUAGUGGAAGCGUCUGGAAAGGCGCGCGAUACAGGGUGACAGCCCCGUACACAAAAAUGCACAUGCUGUGAGCUCGAUGAGUAGGGCGGGACACGUGGUAUCCUGUCUGAAUAUGGGGGGACCAUCCUCCAAGGCUAAAUACUCCUGACUGACCGAUAGUGAACCAGUACCGUGAGGGAAAGGCGAAAAGAACCCCGGCGAGGGGAGUGAAAAAGAACCUGAAACCGUGUACGUACAAGCAGUGGGAGCACGCUUAGGCGUGUGACUGCGUACCUUUUGUAUAAUGGGUCAGCGACUUAUAUUCUGUAGCAAGGUUAACCGAAUAGGGGAGCCGAAGGGAAACCGAGUCUUAACUGGGCGUUAAGUUGCAGGGUAUAGACCCGAAACCCGGUGAUCUAGCCAUGGGCAGGUUGAAGGUUGGGUAACACUAACUGGAGGACCGAACCGACUAAUGUUGAAAAAUUAGCGGAUGACUUGUGGCUGGGGGUGAAAGGCCAAUCAAACCGGGAGAUAGCUGGUUCUCCCCGAAAGCUAUUUAGGUAGCGCCUCGUGAAUUCAUCUCCGGGGGUAGAGCACUGUUUCGGCAAGGGGGUCAUCCCGACUUACCAACCCGAUGCAAACUGCGAAUACCGGAGAAUGUUAUCACGGGAGACACACGGCGGGUGCUAACGUCCGUCGUGAAGAGGGAAACAACCCAGACCGCCAGCUAAGGUCCCAAAGUCAUGGUUAAGUGGGAAACGAUGUGGGAAGGCCCAGACAGCCAGGAUGUUGGCUUAGAAGCAGCCAUCAUUUAAAGAAAGCGUAAUAGCUCACUGGUCGAGUCGGCCUGCGCGGAAGAUGUAACGGGGCUAAACCAUGCACCGAAGCUGCGGCAGCGACGCUUAUGCGUUGUUGGGUAGGGGAGCGUUCUGUAAGCCUGCGAAGGUGUGCUGUGAGGCAUGCUGGAGGUAUCAGAAGUGCGAAUGCUGACAUAAGUAACGAUAAAGCGGGUGAAAAGCCCGCUCGCCGGAAGACCAAGGGUUCCUGUCCAACGUUAAUCGGGGCAGGGUGAGUCGACCCCUAAGGCGAGGCCGAAAGGCGUAGUCGAUGGGAAACAGGUUAAUAUUCCUGUACUUGGUGUUACUGCGAAGGGGGGACGGAGAAGGCUAUGUUGGCCGGGCGACGGUUGUCCCGGUUUAAGCGUGUAGGCUGGUUUUCCAGGCAAAUCCGGAAAAUCAAGGCUGAGGCGUGAUGACGAGGCACUACGGUGCUGAAGCAACAAAUGCCCUGCUUCCAGGAAAAGCCUCUAAGCAUCAGGUAACAUCAAAUCGUACCCCAAACCGACACAGGUGGUCAGGUAGAGAAUACCAAGGCGCUUGAGAGAACUCGGGUGAAGGAACUAGGCAAAAUGGUGCCGUAACUUCGGGAGAAGGCACGCUGAUAUGUAGGUGAAGUCCCUCGCGGAUGGAGCUGAAAUCAGUCGAAGAUACCAGCUGGCUGCAACUGUUUAUUAAAAACACAGCACUGUGCAAACACGAAAGUGGACGUAUACGGUGUGACGCCUGCCCGGUGCCGGAAGGUUAAUUGAUGGGGUCAGCGCAAGCGAAGCUCUUGAUCGAAGCCCCGGUAAACGGCGGCCGUAACUAUAACGGUCCUAAGGUAGCGAAAUUCCUUGUCGGGUAAGUUCCGACCUGCACGAAUGGCGUAAUGAUGGCCAGGCUGUCUCCACCCGAGACUCAGUGAAAUUGAACUCGCUGUGAAGAUGCAGUGUACCCGCGGCAAGACGGAAAGACCCCGUGAACCUUUACUAUAGCUUGACACUGAACAUUGAGCCUUGAUGUGUAGGAUAGGUGGGAGGCUUUGAAGUGUGGACGCCAGUCUGCAUGGAGCCGACCUUGAAAUACCACCCUUUAAUGUUUGAUGUUCUAACGUUGACCCGUAAUCCGGGUUGCGGACAGUGUCUGGUGGGUAGUUUGACUGGGGCGGUCUCCUCCUAAAGAGUAACGGAGGAGCACGAAGGUUGGCUAAUCCUGGUCGGACAUCAGGAGGUUAGUGCAAUGGCAUAAGCCAGCUUGACUGCGAGCGUGACGGCGCGAGCAGGUGCGAAAGCAGGUCAUAGUGAUCCGGUGGUUCUGAAUGGAAGGGCCAUCGCUCAACGGAUAAAAGGUACUCCGGGGAUAACAGGCUGAUACCGCCCAAGAGUUCAUAUCGACGGCGGUGUUUGGCACCUCGAUGUCGGCUCAUCACAUCCUGGGGCUGAAGUAGGUCCCAAGGGUAUGGCUGUUCGCCAUUUAAAGUGGUACGCGAGCUGGGUUUAGAACGUCGUGAGACAGUUCGGUCCCUA
rnacentral:rRNA from 1 species